UUCCAUUAGGUACACGCGGUUUAAUUUUUCACUGUCAUUAAGGUCGAUAAGUGAGGGGGAGAUUACAAGCUCCUUAUUUCAUCUGAAAUGGACUAUCUAUCUGAUGAUCCUUGCAAUCAUUUUGAACAAGAGGACAAUGAUGGAGGGCAAGUGUGGUGAAAGCACUGACAAAAAUAGAUAAGCCACCUGCCAGGAAAAGGAAGUGUCACGCUAGUGAGAGUCCAAUGCCAUCUCCAAGUACUUCAAAACUAGCCAGUGCGGAAGUUUAUCCAGAAGCUGAUGUUUGUUUCGACAACAUUGGCAUCUUCCAGUGGUCAGCAACAAAAAAUCAUUUGACAGGUGCAAGAAACUGGGUUGCAAAGGUAAAACCAAAUUUUAUUGUGUAAAAUGUAACAGUCACUUAUGUCUGGAUAGAAAAAAAAAAUGUUUUUUAGAUUAUCAUUCUUCACAAGUGUAAAACCAUAUGAUCAUUAAGUAAGCUUUGUGUAAUUUGUGUAUGUUGGUGAAAUAAAAUCAAAUAAAAUACUUUGA